GCUCCGAUGGGUCAAUGGUAGACUGGCCUGAUGCGAUUUGCAGGAUGCAUGGAAUUUGGCAGGCAGAUGCGGGUUCGACUCCCGCUUGGAGCG